GUCACAUCGAAAUGUAACUAUAUCACAUCUCUGUUUCACAUGAGUGGACAAUACACAACAUGGCUGUUUCAGCAGCCGAGGGUUUAUGAGCAAGCACUGUUGUUGCAAGACUCAGUUUGACCACAAGGUGGCAGAGUGAGCUAGUGGUUACUAGUGCCCUAUAUGUGGAGAGUAUCGCCAACUGUGUUUGGAAUGUUCAGAGCAGUUCUGCCAAGGAUUGGUUCAGAGGUGGUCACGUGUUUUAUGGACGCCAUUUUUACUACCAAAAGUACUUUUGACUAGAAUGCUUUCUAAUGCUUUCAGAUGGCAGUGUUUGAGUAUCGUUGGCAUUAAGUCUUAAUAUCUUCACCAUACAGCGACCCAUUUUCUCACUGGACACUUUUCUGAUAACGUUAACAUUAUAACGUUUACGUCAUAAGCAUUUUUAGUGAUAAGACUCGUUAAGACAUUUGCAGCACGGAUUUUGUUUCUAACUACCCGGAGAGAUGCCACUUCUGGAGGAGCAGCGAAUACAUCAUACAUCGUUCGUCUUAACCUUGUCUAAAAGGAAAACGGUUGGAACAACUCUGAUGUAGGUAGAGAAGAGUCAGUGGCUGGUGAAGUAAGAGGAUACAUCUGUCUGCUGAUUCAAGGUCCCUGCCCCGUCGCCUCAACAUCCUCAAGAUCCUGUAGGCUACUGCUGCUGCUCCUUGCUUCAGCACCUUUCCCCUGAUGCCUGACACCCCUCAUCACCAAAUCAGCCCAGUCAACAUGGACCCAACAUGGACCCAAGUCUCCACGACAGUGUGCACAAUACACUAUACACAGACAGGGACGAGAACAAAGGUACAAUUGGUCUGAGGGGAGGACACCGCAGACAGCUGAUCAACUCCAUGUCAUCUAAUCAGGCCAUGUAAAGGACCAUGAAGGGAUGGACUUGGUGGAGGACAACAAUGUGACACCCGAAAAGAGUACAUGGAGAUCUCUCAUCCUCAUCCCUCAUGCUUAUAUUGCAUUUCAUAUAGGCCUAGAUUCUGAUGGUCUUGUAAAUGUUUGUUACACAAGUCAGAAAUUGUUGUCUUUGAUUAUUUAAUUUGAUUAUAAUAAAUGGAAAUAUAUUUUAUUGAAAAAUA